rnacentral:rRNA from 1 species
AGUGGCGAACGGGUGAGUAACACGUAGAUAAUCUGCCUUUCAGACGGGGAUAACUCAGGGAAACUUGUGCUAAUACCCGAUGAGACUACGAGGGGGGACCUUCGCAGCCAAAGGUGGGCGAAAGCUCACGCUGGAAGAUGAGUCUGCGUCCUAUCAGCUAGUUGGUGGGGUAAAAGCCUACCAAGGCGAAGACGGGUAGCCGGCCUGAGAGGGUGAACGGCCACACUGGGACUGAGACACGGCCCAGACUCCUACGGGAGGCAGCAGUGAGGAAUUUUCCGCAAUGGGCGCAAGCCUGACGGAGCGACGCCGCGUGAGGGAUGACGGCCUUCGGGUUGUAAACCUCUUUUAUUAAGGAAAAAGGCAAUCGUGCUAACACCACGGUUGUUUGAUGGUACUUAUUGAAUAAGCCCCGGCUAACUACGUGCCAGCAGCCGCGGUAAUACGUAGGGGGCGAGCGUUGUCCGGAGUUACUGGGCGUAAAGAGCGUGUAGGCGGUUGAAAAAGUCAGGUGUGAAAUUCUUCGGCUCAACCGAGGGACUGCGCCUGAAACUUUUCGACUGGAGUUUGGGAGGGGCAACUGGAAUUCCUGGUGUAACGGUGAAAUGUGUAGAUAUCAGGAGGAACACCCGUGGCGAAGGCGGGUUGCUGGACCAAAACUGACGCUGAGACGCGAAAGCGUGGGUAGCAAACAGGAUUAGAUACCCUGGUAGUCCACGCU